GUAUUAUUUUUAUUGUUGUAUUUUAAUUUUUUUCAGAAUAUUUUUGAUCCAUAACUGGUUGAAUGCAUGGAUACAGAACCCACAGAUAUGGAGGGCCACUGUACUGAGUCUUAGAUGCUUCAGUGGGUACUCUCAGGGCUCUGGUGAUGCUCCCUAGGACUUCCAGACCCAAAUUACACUCAGCUCAGCCCUAGAGACCAUGGGCUACCCUCUGAAUGCCUCUCUUCAGCGGCAAGGAUCUGGUUCUUGGAAAACGGGAGUCACACUGAUUCACACCUUCAAGCAAUUCCCACUGCCUUGUGGAGCGAAUGUUAACAUUCUUCCAAUUCCAGUCAAUGCUGACCUCACUCCAGAAGUCUUUCCUGAGAGUGAUUGAAACCUGUCCUUCCUCAGUAGCUGGAAGAACUAGCUGAGAUGCCACAUUAUGACAAUGACCUGCAACUCUGCUUAUGUGGAAGGCUGGCAUAAAGAAAAUAGUGAGCAGUUUUUAAAUACACAGUACAGCACCAAGUGAGUGACAAUCUCCUAAUACUAACAAGGAUAAUAUAAAAGAGGAGUCAAGCUAACCAGGUCGGAAUCCUAACUCUGACUUUUUCCUUGUGGUAUGACUCCAGACAAAUGACUGAACCUUCCUGAGCUUCAAUUUCUUAGCUAUAAAAUAACACUACUAUUUCCUACCUUUAAAAAUGGUGGCUAGGAUUAAAAGAAAUACCUCUGUGCCUAACAUGUAGUCAAAUGAAG
rnacentral:lncRNA from 1 species